UACGUAGGGUGCGAGCGUUAAUCGGAAUUACUGGGCGUAAAGCGUGCGCAGGCGGUUCGUUGUGUCGGCGGUGAAAGCCCCGGGCUUAACCUGGGAAUGGCCGUCGAAACUGGCGAACUGGAGUGUGGCAGAGGGGGGUGGAAUUCCGCGUGUAGCAGUGAAAUGCGUAGAGAUGCUGAGGAACACCGAUGGCGAAGGCAGCCCCCUGGGCUGACACUGACGCUCAGGCACGAAAGCGUGGGGAGCGAACAGG
rnacentral:rRNA from 1 species